UAUUUUUGCUCUCAACAUAAAUUCGUUAUUAUACAUAAUAGACUAUAGUUAAAAUUUUAUUAGAUAAUUGCCACAAAAAAAAUUAUUAGAUAAUUAAAUAUUACUAUUUGAUUAUUAAAUAUGUAGCCAAUAAAAUGUGCUAAAUAAUUAUAUUUGUUUGAAAAACUGGUGGUAACAAAAAGAAGAAAGAAAAAACUGGUGGUCUCAGCGACAAUUCAUGCUUUCGCUUCUCAUCCUCCAUGCUUUUUGCCUCUCUGCUUUUCUUCAUCCCUCCUUUUAUCUAUUCUCGUCGGUGGUCAUCGCAGACCCAGAGCUCCAGCGUUCCACGCAUCAUGUACGAUUCAUGCUUGUCAUCUUCAUCGCCACGAGCAGCACGUAUGGUUCAUGCUUCAGAUCAAGUUGAUUCACCAGUGGGUUAUCUCCUGCUAAGGUUCUCUCUCCCUCUCUCGUUUUAUUCCCUUUAGUUGUCUAUCUCUCACUGGUUUAGAUUUUGUUUGGAUGUUUAGUUAGAACUUGGUCUUCCAUUUGAAUAUUAUUAAUCGAUGCUUUAUUAUUUUAGUUUAUUGAUUUUGGUUUUCGGGAUUUAACUCGACUUGGGUCUCACCAUGGGUUUUGUUUAAAUCUGAUAUAUGCAUUGGUUUUAGAUGGAUUUGGAAUUACCAUUAUUGUGUACAAGACUAGUAUAUAGGCUUUCCUUGAGUUAUUUUUUCUUUUUCUUUCUUUCUUAAUUUAGGGUUCCAUUUCUUUUUCUCUUUAGUUCCAUAGCUUUAUUUAUUGUGGAGUUGUCGUCCUUAAUUGAAUUGUCUUUUAUGGAACGACAUUUGAGGAAGCAAUUGCUAAGUUAGAAGAACCGUGGAAGGAAAGCACCCUAGCCUCAUCAUACAACCCCUAAGGGACAACCUCCUCCUUUGGAUUUCUGAUGUGCAGGAUGUCUACUUUGAUGACGAAUCUGUUGAAGUUGUGAUAUCUUCUCUGCGGUUGGGAGAUGACAAGGACCAGGUAGGUUGAAAUUAUUGCGCAUUCAUCCUAUCUAUUGUGCUCUCUUGUCUUUGCUGUAUAUUAUUUUUUUUAGUGAGAAUCUGGUAUGGAGUAGCCUACUGUAGGGCUAUUCUUUUUGUCCAUUUAAGAUGAAAUGGAAAUGAGGUUUGAUGGUUUGGUGAGCACUUCAAAUUUAUCUGCGUAAGACAACUUUCUUACCAGUCAAAUUUGGAACUUUCUUCCUCCCUCAUUUGAUUUAAUAUUCAUUUCAAUGUAUAAAACAUGUAUCAAUUUACCAAGCAUUUUUCUCAUAAUUUUAAAUAUUUUAGUACUGGUAUACUCAUGAGGAAAUAAUUAUUGAUUUUUUUUGUUUGUUUGUAUAUGUCACAGGCACAACUAGGUAGAGCCUCAUUAUAUUGAGGCAGAUGCCUAGUUUGAUGAAUUACCUUUCUAUCAAAAUAAAAAAGAAAAGCUAGAGCUUCGUAAUGAUUAUAUGUAUAUGAAUUUUUAUUAUGAUAAAUAUAACUGGUGAGAUAGUUUGUCUUAUUGGUGUGUUUCUUAGAGAUUCUUUCAUUGUAUUUGCAUGAGUUAAAUAUGGCUCAAGUUGUCUUACACUGCUAUAGUUAUAGUGAAGGGAAAUUCGUACCUCAACGAUGAAGGUCUUCACGAUUCAAGUAAAAUUGCUGCUUUUGAUUUUGAUGGAUGUCUUGCAAAUACUUCUGUUAGAAGGUUGUAAUAAUAUUCAUUAAGCACUGAUUAAUUACAUUUCAUUGAAGUGCAAUAUUAGUAUAGUAUAUUGAACUAUAAUUACCAGAAGAAAUUAAACAAAAUCGAACUAAAAUACAUUUCAUUCCAAUACAAAGUUUUUAAAUCUUAUUAUAUUGAUUCUAAUGUUCAAGCUCACUUAAGGUUCUUGUGAACUAAGAUGCCCGAGACAUUUUCAAUGUGUGCACUUACAGAAUGCUUCAUUUGUUGGAAGCUUUACACAAAUUUGGCUCACUAACAACUAGAUUUGAUGCACUUAUUGCGGGGUAGGUCCAGAUGCUUGGUCUCUGAUGUAUAUCCUUCAAUACCUGCUAAGCUACAAAGCCUGUACAAUGAUGGCUAUAAACUGGUUAUCUUUACCAAUGAAUCAAACAUUGAGCGCUGGAAAAAUAAGAGACAAGUUGCUGUGGACUCAAAAAUUGGUCGCCUAAACAAAUUAUUGAGACAGUGAAAAUCCCAAUUCAGGUUUUCAUUGUUUGUGGAGUAAGUAAUUCUAAUGGUCAAGCAGACAAUCCCUACCGCAAACCAAAACCAGGGAUGUGCUUCAUAUGGUGGAUUGUUGUAUUCUGUGGGUAAAUUAUACCUAAACUAUAUUUAUUGUCUUUGUUUACUCGAGAAUUUUUUAACUUCUCAAUAGUAAGAACAUAAAAAAUAAAAA